GUUGAAUGACCGCGUGCCAUAGGCAUGAGGAAAGUCCGAGCACCACAGGGCAGGAUGCCAGUUAACGGCUGGUGGAGGCGACUCCAAGGCAAGUGCAACAGAAAUAUACCGCCGCGCGAGCGGUAAGGGUGGAAAAGUGCGGUAAGAGCGCACUGGCGGCAUGGCGACUUUGCCGUCCUGUAAACCCCAUCCGGUGCAAGAUCCAGGAAGCGCACAGGGCUGCCCGCUCUGCUUCCCAGCAUCGCUAAAGCGCACUGGUGACUUUGCGCGCAGAUAGAUGGUCAUUUUCAACAGAACUCGGCUUACAGGCUGC
rnacentral:RNase_P_RNA from 1 species